rnacentral:rRNA from 1 species
CAAUACACGAGUGGCGCACGGGUGAGUAACGCGUGGAUAUCUGCCUUUUGGUUCGGAAUAACCCCGGGAAACUGGGGCUAAUACCGGAUGGUUCCUUCGGGAUAAAGAUUUAUCGCCAAAAGAUGAGUCCGCGUACGAUUAGCUAGUUGGUGAGGUAAUGGCUCACCAAGGCGACGAUCGUUAGCUGGUCUGAGAGGACGAUCAGCCACACUGGGACUGAGACACGGCCCAG